GCCUCUGGCAUGGCUCCGCCUGGAGGCCCAGCCUCAUCACAGCAUUCCUGAAAGACAGAGCAUGCUGAGUCCCUUCUUUGCAGCCAAGAAGCAUGAGUAGCAUAGGAGCUGACUGCAAGAGCAGGAGGCAGGACCAGUCAACAUUCCCCCAGGGAGAAAGAGGAUGGGAGAGGAAGGAGUCCUGAGGAGGAUUGAUCAGAAGCCAGAAGAUUGAUCAGUGCUCCCAGCUCUGGGACUAAACUAUCCACUCUUUGAUUCCUGAGGUCGUGCUAGGAGUCUUGUCAAGUUCAGCUUUGCAGAGGUCCAGGUAGGACCCAAAUUUUGCUUCUUCUUCUAACUUUCCCUAAAUGCCCAGUGCCAGUCUGGGUACUGAAGCCCCUGCCUGUGGCUCAUUAGCAGCAUCCCUAUCUAGUCUUACGUGCAUAUGGCUACUGGUGCUGAUGCCAAACCAACGUUAGGGGGAGAAGCCCUCCAGGUGUUUAUCACUGUGCAUUGGGAAGGUCACAGUGGUGCUGUAAGUGGUGGUGCUGGUCCACUCUGCUGUGGCAGAGCCUUCACCAG